rfam:Camelus ferus unplaced genomic scaffold scaffold110, whole genome shotgun sequence.
GGGGUUAUGGCUCAGUGGUAGAGCACAUGCUUGGCAUGCAUGAGGUCCUGGGUUCAAUCCCCAAUGCUUCCA